GGUUAAGCGACUAAGCGUACACGGUGGAUGCCCUGGCAGUCAGAGGCGAUGAAGGGCGUGCUAAUCUGCGAUAAGCGCCGGUAAGGUGAUAUGAACCGUUAUAACCGGCGAUACCCGAAUGGGGAAACCCAGUGUGAUUCGUCACACUAUCAUUAACUGAAUCCAUAGGUUAAUGAGGCGAACCGGGGGAACUGAAACAUCUAAGUACCCCGAGGAAAAGAAAUCAACCGAGAUUCCCCCAGUAGCGGCGAGCGAACGGGGAGGAGCCCAGAGCCUGAAUCAGCAUGUGUGUUAGUGGAAGCGUCUGGAAAGGCGCGCGAUACAGGGUGACAGCCCCGUACACAAAAGCGCAUGUGUUGUGAGCUCGAUGAGUAGGGCGGGACACGUGGUAUCCUGUCUGAAUAUGGGGGGACCAUCCUCCAAGGCUAAAUACUCCUGACUGACCGAUAGUGAACCAGUACCGUGAGGGAAAGGCGAAAAGAACCCCGGCGAGGGGAGUGAAAAAGAACCUGAAACCGUGUACGUACAAGCAGUGGGAGCACAGGUUUACCUGUGUGACUGCGUACCUUUUGUAUAAUGGGUCAGCGACUUAUAUUCUGUAGCAAGGUUAACCGUAUAGGGGAGCCGCAGGGAAACCGAGUCUUAAUUGGGCGUUAAGUUGCAGGGUAUAGACCCGAAACCCGGUGAUCUAGCCAUGGGCAGGUUGAAGGUUGGGUAACACUAACUGGAGGACCGAACCGACUAAUGUUGAAAAAUUAGCGGAUGACCUGUGGCUGGGGGUGAAAGGCCAAUCAAACCGGGAGAUAGCUGGUUCUCCCCGAAAGCUAUUUAGGUAGCGCCUCGUGAACUCAUCUCCGGGGGUAGAGCACUGUUUCGGCUAGGGGGCCAUCCCGGCUUACCAACCCGAUGCAAACUGCGAAUACCGGAGAAUGUUAUCACGGGAGACACACGGCGGGUGCUAACGUCCGUCGUGAAGAGGGAAACAACCCAGACCGCCAGCUAAGGUCCCAAAGUCAUGGUUAAGUGGGAAACGAUGUGGGAAGGCCCAGACAGCCAGGAUGUUGGCUUAGAAGCAGCCAUCAUUUAAAGAAAGCGUAAUAGCUCACUGGUCGAGUCGGCCUGCGCGGAAGAUGUAACGGGGCUAAACCAUGCACCGAAGCUGCGGCAGCGAACGUAUCACUUAAAGCGAUUCAGCGGGUUACGAUUGACGGAGCGAAGCGACGUCAAAGCGUAUACAAAGUCGAGUCGGUUUAAGGAUACGUUCGUUGGGUAGGGGAGCGUUCUGUAAGCCUGUGAAGGUGGCCUGUGAGGGUUGCUGGAGGUAUCAGAAGUGCGAAUGCUGACAUAAGUAACGAUAAAGCGGGUGAAAAGCCCGCUCGCCGGAAGACCAAGGGUUCCUGUCCAACGUUAAUCGGGGCAGGGUGAGUCGACCCCUAAGGCGAGGCCGAAAGGCGUAGUCGAUGGGAAACGGGUUAAUAUUCCCGUACUUGGUGUUACUGCGAAGGGGGGACGGAGAAGGCUAUGUUGGCCGGGCGACGGUUGUCCCGGUUUAAGCGUGUAGGUGUGUGUUCCAGGUAAAUCCGGUUCACUUUAACACUGAGGCGUGAUGACGAGGCACUACGGUGCUGAAGCAACAAAUGCCCUGCUUCCAGGAAAAGCCUCUAAGCAUCAGGUAACAUCAAAUCGUACCCCAAACCGACACAGGUGGUCAGGUAGAGAAUACCAAGGCGCUUGAGAGAACUCGGGUGAAGGAACUAGGCAAAAUGGUGCCGUAACUUCGGGAGAAGGCACGCUGACAUGUAGGUGAAGUGAUUUACUCAUGGAGCUGAAGUCAGUCGAAGAUACCAGCUGGCUGCAACUGUUUAUUAAAAACACAGCACUGUGCAAACACGAAAGUGGACGUAUACGGUGUGACGCCUGCCCGGUGCCGGAAGGUUAAUUGAUGGGGUCAGCGCAAGCGAAGCUCCUGAUCGAAGCCCCGGUAAACGGCGGCCGUAACUAUAACGGUCCUAAGGUAGCGAAAUUCCUUGUCGGGUAAGUUCCGACCUGCACGAAUGGCGUAAUGAUGGCCAGGCUGUCUCCACCCGAGACUCAGUGAAAUUGAACUCGCUGUGAAGAUGCAGUGUACCCGCGGCAAGACGGAAAGACCCCGUGAACCUUUACUAUAGCUUGACACUGAACAUUGAGCCUUGAUGUGUAGGAUAGGUGGGAGGCUUUGAAGCGUGGACGCCAGUCUGCGUGGAGCCGGCCUUGAAAUACCACCCUUUAAUGUUUGAUGUUCUAACGUGGACCCGUGAUCCGGGUUGCGGACAGUGUCUGGUGGGUAGUUUGACUGGGGCGGUCUCCUCCUAAAGAGUAACGGAGGAGCACGAAGGUUGGCUAAUCCUGGUCGGACAUCAGGAGGUUAGUGCAAUGGCAUAAGCCAGCUUGACUGCGAGCGUGACGGCGCGAGCAGGUGCGAAAGCAGGUCAUAGUGAUCCGGUGGUUCUGAAUGGAAGGGCCAUCGCUCAACGGAUAAAAGGUACUCCGGGGAUAACAGGCUGAUACCGCCCAAGAGUUCAUAUCGACGGCGGUGUUUGGCACCUCGAUGUCGGCUCAUCACAUCCUGGGGCUGAAGUAGGUCCCAAGGGUAUGGCUGUUCGCCAUUUAAAGUGGUACGCGAGCUGGGUUUAGAACGUCGUGAGACAGUUCGGUCCCUAUCUGCCGUGGGCGCUGGAGAACUGAGGGGGCUGCUCCUAGUACGAGAGGACCGGAGUGGACGCAUCACUGGUGUUCGGGUUGUCAUGCCAAUGGCACUGCCCGGUAGCUAAAUGCGGAAGAGAUAAGUGCUGAAAGCAUCUAAGCACGAAACUUGCCCCGAGAUGAGUUCUCCCUGAGACUUAAAGUCUCCUGAAGGAACGUUGAAGACGACGACGUUGAUAGGCCGGGUGUGUAAGCGCAGCGAUGCGUUGAGCUAACCGGUACUAAUGAACCGUGAGGCUUAACCUU
rnacentral:rRNA from 1 species